ACAAUUAUACAACAACCAAAUAACUACAAUACAGCACGGAUCAUUUAAAGACCUAUCAGCGCUUAUCGAGCUGUAUGUAUACAAUAUUUAAUUCAGAAAUAAUAGACAACAUAACCAAAGGUCAAUUUAACCCUUACUGACCCAGAAAGCUACAAAUAUCUUUUAACAAUACAAAAAUUAGAAGAUAUGGCAUGAUUGACAAUGAUACAACUCUCCAACAGACUCCUGAAUGACGUAGAUGUUAUCAAAUUUAUGUCAUUGUACAGCUUUUUACAAUAUUCGAAACUAAUACAUAAAACACAUCAUAAAAAACUAAAGACUGAGCAACAUGAACCCCACCACUAACUGAAGGUGAUUUCAGAUGCUCCAGAUGAGUAAGCAGAUCUUUCUCCAAAUAUGGCACUCGUCGUAUAGCGUAUUUUGCAUAAAUCCGUUAAUAAUUUUACGUCGGUAGAUCAAUUCACGAAAAGGGGGACGGGAUUGUAGUUACGACAAUUGGAACAUAUCCGCUAUAAUAAUAUUCAUAACGGUCAACCAACUCGUGAUGGCGUCCGUGAAAUUUACAAAGGGGUGAUUUCAUCUCAACACUUGUUACUCUUGGUUUUAUAGAUUUAUUGUUAUUAUCAAGCCUCUACCAAGGACAUAAUUAUAGGAAAAAUAAGCUCUGGAAUAUAUCUCAUGAACUGGAAGAUACAUACUACGUAUGCAGUCACUGCUGGAAUGUUGCUACAUAUGAAUGGAAAGUUCAUAAUUGGGAAGCACAAAUCAUCUCGAUCGUCGUAAAGUUUGGCCAAACUCAAACUUAAAAACGAACUGAUUUUUGUACAAAAUAAUACACAAAAAAGCAAAUAUACAAAAAAACAAACGAAAACCACUGCAUCUUCUGGGUCAUAACUGCAGACAAUUAACCCAGAAGAUGUAUGGUUGAAUCAUGUUAAAGGGCAACCAAUCUUCCCCUUACCCAAGAGAGUGGUACAAGGAUAAACUGAACCAAAAAAAAUACAAAUUCAUUUAUGGUCUACAGUGAUCGACAAGUACCAAUCAAUUACAGGCUCCUGACUUUAUAUAGGUACAUAUAGACAUAUUUACGGGUGUCCAAUUCUGCCCCCUAAUGUUGACAUUAGUGUAACAGAACAACAUAAGUUCAAACUAUUUAAAGAAAUUGCAAAAAAUAACAAAUAACGACAGCACUUACGACAACGUUUUUUUUUUUUUUUAACUUAAAAUGAAUAAAAGUCUUAACUACAUCAUUUCAAAUUUUGAUUCGGUAUUAAAAUAGUUCCAAUUGUAAAAAGACAGAUCAUCCUUAUAUAUUGGCCAGUGAUACAGAACAAGUAUUAUUUGUUUUUACAGAAGGUUGGAGAACAAUCAAAUUACUACAAUACCACAAGGAACGUUCGAAGAGAUGUCAGCGCUUAACUACUUGUAUGUUUACAUUUUUUUAGUAUUUUAUCCAGAUGUAAAAUGAAUCAUAUAUUAAGGAAUUAUUCAAGUCCUAUCAGCGCAAUAAUUAGUAGUAGAUAUUCAGAAGGUCCAUGCGACCACGAAUAAUUAAAAGCAAAUAAUAGUGUUAAAGGGUUUUGGUAAAAAAAGAAUUGGUAAUCCAUCUUUAUUCAGGAAAUUUUACUCUUAAUUCCAUCACCUUACCCAUAAUGAUAUCCAAGAGGUAAUCACACAUAUUUUUUUUCCAGAGAUUUGAGAGGAAACAAUUUGAUAUUUGUCAAGAAUGACACAUUUGAACAUAACAUUAACUUAAAACAUCUGU
rnacentral:lncRNA from 1 species